UCUCUCUCUCUCUCUCUCUCUCUCUCUCUCUCUCUCACACACACACACACAGAGAGAGAGAGAGAGAGAGAGAGAGAGAGAGAGAGAGA
rnacentral:miRNA from 1 species